rnacentral:lncRNA from 1 species
CAUUAUAAAAAAAGUCUAUUAACUUCGUUAAGUUCCCUUUUGAAUUUUUUAACGGAACGAUAACUCGAUAUAAAUCCCGGUACGAAGAAAGUUCUUUUAGUGUAAGCUUUCUUGGCACUCAUAUUUAAAAUAGUGUACACAAAUUUCAAGGUCGUCCUAUCUCGAUUCCUCUCCUCUGUGUAGGUCUCCAUAGUAUCGAUACAACUGACUCGAACUGACUAGUCAGCUGUUCGAGCUGUGCGGACAUUUGUUGACUGUUUGUUGACAUUGAUUGAUUUUCGAUCCUCAUAUUUUUUACCAUGGACAUUCGUCGCUUUUUGUGUAAAAAACCGCGGAUUGAACACAAAAAUGACGUGGGUGAAUGUAAUCAAGAUAAACUUCCAACGGUUCAAACUCAGGCCGGAUCUGCAGAAAAAAAAGCAUGCAA